ACUUCCCUGGCGGAAAAGGCGUCGUAAAAGGGGUUUAAGAAAUCCCACUGGAUGCUUUCCCAGAGCCUUGGUGUUACGGCGCUCAGCUCCAAUGCACAGACUGCGCUACGAAGGCGCCCUGCGCAGGGAUUGGCUGCAGCACCCAGGGAACUCUAUAUUUGAGACCGUGAAGCCAACUUACUUCACAUUGAAACUUCCUUCUCUUUCACUUCCCUAUGAUAAAGCCUGAAGGAUAAUUCUGCCAAUAUUUUCUUCCAGCAAUAAUCAACUAUCUUACUAUCUGUAGUGCAAGGAGUCUGAGAUACCUACGGAUUCUCCAAACAGGAUACCUAUAGACAGCUGAAAAUACAAGACUGGUUUUACACAGCAAUGUCAGAGCUGAAGAGACAGGUGAUAAUCACAGGCAUGAAUGUAUUGAAGUUACUGAGGGACUACAAAGUGAACAUAACUGGGAACAGCACCAUCAAAACGAUCAGCAUUUAAAGAGCAGGGAGUGGGAAGAGCCAAUGAUUGAAGCUGAGACUAAACUAACUGAAGAGAAAAUCAAGGCACAAUUCUUGCUAUAAUAUCCGAAGAGGGAACUUGCGGCAGACGGACUGGAGGGUGGGUGAGUAUCAAAUUGAAUUUUGGCUUCAUUUUAUGUGUGUGGAAUCAGGACUAUUAAAUGGAAGAAGAGACAUAACAAACACCAACAGGCCUAGGACAAUCCCGGGAACCAUAGUUUAGCGAUCUUUUCUAAGCGCCCUCUGAACUCUACUACAUGAGGACUAUUUGCUAAUCCUGGGCUUAGAAUUAAGAGUGUGUAGGAGUGUGUAGACUCCACUGUUCAAUGGCAAAGUGGAUAUUGCCCCUUCUGACAGUGUUUCCUCUCUGAAAGUGUCUACAACCCAAAACAUGCUUUGGCAGACAGUAUGUAAGGGUUCCCAUCUUAAUUGAGAAUGCUGUUGUUUAUUUAAAUAAGCAAAUAAACUGGAGCAUUUCCAGAUUCCUCAUAUUCUUCAGACCAUGAAAAUGUACUCAGCAUUGAGUUGAGGAAAGUGUCCUCAGCUUAAAUAAUAAAUAGAAUUACAUUGGUUUUGCGU
rnacentral:lncRNA from 1 species